rnacentral:rRNA from 1 species
AGCAGCCGCGGUAAUUCCAGCUCCAAUAGCGUAUAUUAAAGUUGUUGCAGUUAAAAAGCUCGUAGUUGAAUUUCGGGAUCAGAUUGUUGGUCGUGCCUCGGUACGCACUGGCAUUAUUGGUUCCUACCUUCUGAAGAACCGCGAUGUCAUUAAUUUGGUGUCGUGGGGAAUCAGGACUGUUACUUUGAAAAAUUAGAGUGUUUAAAGCAGGCGCACGCUUGAAUACAUUAGCAUGGAAUAAUGAAAUAGGACGUUUGAUUCUAUUUUGUUGGUUUCUAGGAUCGACGUAAUGAUUAAUAGGGAUAGUUGGGGGCAUUAGUAUUCAAUUGUCAGAGGUGAAAUUCUUGGAUUUAUUGAAGACUAACUACUGCGAAAGCAUUUGCCAAGGAUGUUUUCAUUAAUCAAGAACGAAAGUUAGGGGAUCGAAGACGAUCAGAUACCGUCGUAGUCUUAACCAUAAACUAAUGCCGACUAGGGAUCGGAUGAUGUUAA